CCUACGGGAGGCUGCAGUGGGGAAUAUUGGGCAAUGGGCGCAAGCCUGACCCAGCAACGCCGCGUGAAGGAAUAAGGCUUUCGGGUUGUAAACUUCUUUUCUCAGGGACGAAGCAAGUGACGGUACCUGAGUAAUAAGCCACGGCUAACGACGUGCCAGCCUCCGCGGUAAUCCGUAGGUGGCAAGCUUUAUCCGGAUUUACUGUGUGUAAAGGGCGUGUAGGAGGGACGGCAAGUCAAAUGUGAAAACCCCGGGCUCAACCUGUGGACUGCAUUUGAAACUGGAGUUCUUGAGUACUGGAGAGGAUGACGGAAUUCCUAGUGUAGGGGUGAAAUGCGUAGAUAUUAGGAGGAACACCAGUGGCGAAGGCGGUUAGCUGG
rnacentral:rRNA from 1 species